GGCCAACUCAACAUCAUGCUUGCGGAGACUCCUGCACUAGAUGGGGUUGGAUGCAAAAAACCCAGGAUUGUGAAUGACUUGUCUGAGUUGGAAGGUUUCCGACGCUUAAAAUUGGAUUUAUGUGGAAAUUGCAUCAAGGGUCAUGUAGGAGGAGUUAUUUUGAAACCAAACAAGUUACGAAUUUUCCCUUAUAAAAAGGAAAUUGAGACCCGACAACUCACUGGAUCUCACCAUAAGAGGUUUGCAAUGCACAGCAGGUCCUGGCACAGACAGAUGUGUUGUCACGCGUAGGAGUCCAGAACCUUUCUCCAGCUUCUAUAAGCAGCCCCACUCCUCUCCCUCCCCCCACACCUCCUCAGAGCAUCUUUAAUAAGACACAUGCUCCGGGGCUCAGGCUCUCAUUCACACCAAACGCUCCUUGGCGAUCCCCCAACAGGCUGCCUGCUCCACUUCUAGCCCCGCCGAGUCUUCAUGGGUUGAACUGACAGGAGUGCCACACUCUCCUCUCCUCCCUUUUCCACCUCUCCUCUCUUCUCCUCUCCUCUCAUACUCCACGCAUCGCUCCUCCAUUACAUCAUCAACCAACCCCCCCCCCUCCCACACACACACACACGCACACCACCGUUAUGGCUUGUGCCCCGGGAAUGUUUGGAUUUGCAGCCGCAGCAGCAUAAUCCUCUACUGAAGGGAGUUGCGGACGCAGCAGCCCGUAGAGAGAGACAGUGAGAGACAGAGAGCGAGUGAGAGAGAGAGAGAGAGAGAGAGAGAGAGAGAGAGAGAGAGAGAGAGAG